GGAGAGGAUGUAGAGGAGGAGGAGGAAGAAGAAAAGUGGAGGAGAAGCACAUGGGGCGUGUGCACAUGUGGGAAGCACAUUCCCCGAGCCGUCUCCCCGGCCAGCAUGGACUCCCCAGGAUGUCUGCUCCAAGGACGAAGGUGUAGACUGAGCUGGUCGGACCAGCGCCUGGAGUCGUCAGAGCCGCUGUCGGUACACCACGUGGCAGUGGCCCUGCAGGAGGCUGCCCGCGGCCUGUGGCUGGUGCUGCUGGGCUGGCUCGACGUGUCCUUGGGAUCCUGGCUGACACUGGCCUCUUCUGUUUCAGAAUCACUGCUGUCUUCAUCUUGGACUUGCUGCCCUGGCUCCCUACCGCCUCCAAACAUCUCUCAAAGGAAGGAUCCCUGGGGAAAGGUGUGAGCAAGUGGAACCGAAAGCUGCUGAGGGACAGCUUUGGUCUGCAGUGAGCCAGGCUGCCCUCAGUCUCAUCCCCAGCACACAGUCCUUCUCCGCGUACUGGCCACAGUGUGCAUGCACGCGGGAGACGGCACUCGCUGUCUCAACGCCCUGAGUCCUGCCCUUCUUCCACCCCCUAAUCUCAUCUGCUUUAGUCAUUCACUGAAUAAAGGCGAUUCAUUUCAGGGGACUCCAUCAUCCAUGCCUUGGAUAAAGCAGGUGACCUCUAACAGUUACUGAUUCAAAUUUUCUGAAUUUUACCUUCUUCCUACCAACACUUCAGAUAACCUCUUCUGAAGCUACAAUUGUGCCUCCCGGCAGGGGGAUUUGUGAGGAUUUACAUCGUCAACACAGUACAACAUUAAAAUGUGCUGCCUA
rnacentral:lncRNA from 1 species